rnacentral:rRNA from 1 species
GACGAACGCUGGCGGCGUGCCUAAUACAUGCAAGUAGAACGCUGAAGGAGGAGCUUGCUUCUCUGGAUGAGUUGCGAACGGGUGAGUAACGCGUAGGUAACCUGCCUGGUAGCGGGGGAUAACUAUUGGAAACGAUAGCUAAUACCGCAUAAUAGCAGUUAUUGCAUGAUAACUGUUUGAAAGGUGCAAUUGCAUCACUACCAGAUGGACCUGCGUUGUAUUAGCUAGUUGGUGGGGUAACGGCUCACCAAGGCGACGAUACAUAGCCGACCUGAGAGGGUGAUCGGCCACACUGGGACUGAGACACGGCCCAGACUCCUACGGGAGGCAGCAGUAGGGAAUCUUCGGCAAUGGACGGAAGUCUGACCGAGCAACGCCGCGUGAGUGAAGAAGGUUUUCGGAUCGUAAAGCUCUGUUGUAAGAGAAGAACGAGUGUGAGAGUGGAAAGUUCACACUGGACG